ACUUCUGUUCCUCCCCGCCCUGGUGCUGCUCCGGGUCACAUACUCGUCCUGAGCCGGCUUCAGCCUCUCCGCGCAGAAGUCUCCCGGAGCCGACUUCUGAGAGUCGAGUACUCCUAUGUGAAGACUACCAAGCUCGUGUUCAAGGGAACCAAGGCGAAGAGGCGAGAUGGAAAGAAAGUAUCAAGGAGUGAGCUGAAGCCACUGCCCUUGAGAACCCUCUCGAGGAGUCUGGGCUCAUGAGGAUGCCAGAAUAAGUGGCAGGUAUAUCCUGAAUGAAUGUGAGAUUUUUACUCUGUGAAUUUCCUGUGAGGAGUGUAAGAAGAAAAAGAACAAAGAUAAGAAAAGAAAAAGAGAAGAAGAUGAAGAAACCCAGCUUGAUAUGUUGGAAUCUGGUGGACAGUAACAAACUUUGGUGAAAUUUCAGGAACCAUAGCCAUUGAAAUGGAUGAGGGAACCUAUAUACAUGCACUCGAUAAUGGUCUUUUUACCCUGGGAGCUCCACACAAAGAAGUUGAUGAGGGCCCUAGUCCUCCAGAGCAGUUUUCGGCUGUCAAAUUAUCUGAUUCCAGAAUCACCCUGAAAUCUGGCUAUGGAAAAUAUCUUGGUAUAAAUUCAGAUGAACUUGUUGUUGGGCGUUCAGAUGCAAUUGGACCAAGAGAACAAUGGGAACCAGUCUUUAAAAUUGGGAAAAUGGCUUUGUCGACCUCAAAUAGCUGCUUUAUUAGAUACAGUGAAGCAGAGGACAUAGAAGCAAAAAGUAAAACAGCAGGAGAAGAAGAAAUGAUCAAGAUUAGAUCCUGUGCUGAAAGAGAAACCAAGAAAAAAGAUGACAUUCCAGAAGAAGACAAAGGAAAUAUAAAACAAUGUGAAAUCAAUUACGUAAAGAAAUUUCAGAGCUUCCAAGACCACAAACUUAAAAUAAGUAAAGAAGAGAGUAAAAUUCUUAAAAAGGCUCAGAAAGAUGGAUUUUUGCAUGAAACGCUUCUGGACAGAGAACCAAAUUGAAAGCCGACAGAUACUGCAGAUGACUGGGAUUUUUGUUUCUGUCUUACCUUUUUGUGUUUUUUUUCUGAAUAAAAUAUUCAGAGGAAAUGCUUUUACA
rnacentral:lncRNA from 1 species